AUUGAACGCUGGCGGCAUGCCUUACACAUGCAAGUCGAACGGCAGCACGGGAGCAAUCCUGGUGGCGAGUGGCGAACGGGUGAGUAAAGUAUCGGAACGUGCCCAGUCGUGGGGGAUAACGUAGCGAAAGUUACGCUAAUACCGCAUACGAUCUAUGGAUGAAAGCGGGGGAUCGCAAGACCUCGCGCGAUUGGAGCGGCCGAUAUCAGAUCAGGUAGUGGGUGGGGUAAAGGCUCACCAAGCCGACGAUCUGUAGCUGGUCUGAGAGGACGACCGGCCACACUGGGACAGAGACACGGCCCAGACUCCUACGGGCGGCAGCAGUGGGGAAUUUUGGACAAUGGGCGAAAGCCUGAUCCAGCCAAGCCGCGGGCAGGAUGAAGGCCUUCGGGUUGUAAACUGCUUUUGUACGGAACGAAGAGGUUUGGCCUAAUAAGCUGAGCUCAUGGCGGUACCGUAAGAAUAAGCACCGGCUAACUACGUGCCAGCCGCCACGGUAA
rnacentral:rRNA from 1 species